UACGGAGGGUGCAAGCGUUGUCCGGAUUUAUUGGGUUUAAAGGGUGCGUAGGCGGUCUUUUAAGUCAGCGGUGAAAUCCUCCAGCUUAACUGGAGAACUGCCAUUGAUACUGAAAGACUUGAGUACAGACGAGGUAGGCGGAAUUGACAGUGUAGCGGUGAAAUGCAUAGAUAUUGUCAAGAACACCGAUUGCGAAGGCAGCUUACUAGACUGUAACUGACGCUGAGGCACGAAAGUGCGGGGAUCAAACAGG
rnacentral:rRNA from 1 species